GGUUCUUACGGGAGGCAGCAGUGGGGAAUAUUGCACAAUGGGGGAAACCCUGAUGCAGCAACGCCGCGUGAGUGAAGAAGUAUUUCGGUAUGUAAAGCUCUAUCAGCAGGGAAGAGAACGACGGUACCUGACUAAGAAGCCCCGGCUAACUACGUGCCAGCAGCCGCGGUAAUACGUAGGGGGCAAGCGUUAUCCGGAUUCACUGGGCGUAAAGGGAGCGCAGGCGGCACGGCAAGUCUGGUGUGAAAACCCGGGGCUCAACCCCGGGACUGCAUUGGAAACUGCCGGGCUGGAGGGUCGGAGGG
rnacentral:rRNA from 1 species